rnacentral:rRNA from 1 species
UUGCACGCUGGCGGCCGGCCUCACCCCUGCAAGUCGCACGGUAACAGGAAGCAGCUUGCUGCUUCGCUGACGAGUGGCGGACGGGUGAGUAAUGUCUGGGAAGCUGCCUGAUGGAGGGGGAUAACUACUGGAAACGGUAGCUAAUACCGCAUAAUGUCGCAAGACCAAAGAGGGGGACCUUCGGGCCUCUUGCCAUCGGAUGUGCCCAGAUGGGAUUAGCUUGUUGGUGGGGUAACGGCUCACCAAGGCGACGAUCCCUAGCUGGUCUGAGAGGAUGACCAGCCACACUGGGACUGAGACACGGUCCAGACUCCUACGGGAGGCAGCAGUGGGGAAUAUUGCACAAUGGGCGCAAGCCUGAUGCAGCCAUGCCGCGUGUAUGAAGAAGGCCUUCGGGUUGUAAAGUACUUUCAGCGGGGAGGAAGGGAGUAAAGUUAAUACCUUUGCUCAUUGACGUUACCCGCAGAAGAAGCACCGGCUAACUCCGUG